rnacentral:rRNA from 1 species
UACGUAGGGGGCGAGCGUUGUCCGGAUUUAUUGGGCGUAAAGAGCGUGUAGGCGGCCAGGUAGGUCUGCUGUGAAACUCGAGGCUCAACCUCGAGACGUCGGCGGAACCAUCUGGCUAGAGUCCGGAAGAGGAGAGUGGAAGUUCCUGGUGUAGCGGUGAAAUGCGCAGAUAGUCAGGAGGAACACCGAUGGCGAAGGCAGGUCUCUGGGCCGACUACUGACGCUGAGAAGCGAAAGCAUGGGGAGCGAACAGG